GGUGGCUGAGCUGUGGCUCACACCUGUAAUUCCAACUUUACAGGUCAAGGCAAGAGGCCAAGGCAAGAGGAUCACUCAAGCCCGGGAGUACUAGGCUAUGGUGUACCAUGCCGAUCAGGUAUCUACACUAGGUUUGUCAUCAGUAUGGUGACCUCCCUGGAGCAGGGGACCACCAGGUUGCCUAAGCAGAGUGUACCAGGCCAGGUCGGAAACUAAGUGGGUCAAAACUCCCACGCUGAUCAGUAGUGGGAUCAUACCUGUGAAGAGCCACUCCACUCCAGCCUGGCAACAUGGUGAGAUCCCAUCUCA
rnacentral:SRP_RNA from 1 species